rnacentral:rRNA from 1 species
AGUGGGGAAUAACUGAGAGAAAAUCUUAGCUAAUACCGUAAUACCUACGGGUCAAAGCAGCAAUGCGCUUGAAGAGGAGUUCGCGGCAGAUUAGUUUUGGCGGGGUAAUGGCCCACCAAGACGAUGAUCUGUAUCCGGCCUGAGAGGGCGCACGCACACUGGAACUGAAACACGGUCCAGACUCCUACGGGAGGCAGCAGUGGGGAAUUUUGCAAUGGGGGAAACCCUGACGCAGCAACGCCGCGUGGAGGAUGAAAUCCCUUGGGAUGUACUCCUUUCGAUAGGGAAGAUUAUGACGGUACCUAUAGAAGAAGCCCCGGCUAACUUCGCCAGCAGCCGCGGUAAUACGAGGGGGGCGAGCGUUGUUCGGAAUUAUUGGGCGUAAAGUGCGUAGGCGGUUUGACAAGUCUGAUGUGAAAUCUAUGGGCUCAACCCAUAGUCUGCCGGAAACUGUCGGGCUUGAGUAUGGGAGAGGUGAGUGGAAUUUCCGGUGUAGCGGUGAUGCGUAGAUAUCGGAAGGAACACCUGUGGCGAAAGCGGCUCACUGGACCAUUACUGACUGAGGCACGAAAGCUAGGGGAGCAAACAGGAUUAGAUACCCUGGUAGUCCUAGCCCUACGAUGAUUGCUUGAUGUGGCAGGUACCCAAUCCUGCCGUGUCGAAGCUAACGCGAUAA